CGCUUUGAAGUGACCACACCUUAAAGCUGACGUUUUCAGAAGAGCACCUUGUUUUAAGAUCUCAUUUUGUCCAAAAUUGCGUCCUAUGACAGAUAUAAUACUUAUUUCAUUAUUGCUCUGUGUAUGUGUGACCUUAAUCAUUUGAGGUUAUGUGUUGAUUUCACCUCUGAAUAUUUCCUCUUAUAGGUCCAUCAUCCUUGCAUGCGCUACACACUCAAAAGCAUUGAUAAAUGCUGAAUUUAAAAGAAUCACUACUGUCUUAUGUUCCUGCGUGUCACCUGGACCUCCAAUCCAAAAACCUGACGAAACUCUUCUAUCAGAAAGGAGGACAGCUAGCAAAAAGACUUCAAACAAUGAAUGAUCAAAUGACAGAAGGCAUGGAUGAAGUCAGCAUCAGUGUGGUCAUUUGAAGACACCACUGUUGGGAUUUGUGCUCUCAAACAACAUGCUUCUUGUGAUGAAGAAGAGGAUCUUUGUAUAGUCCUGGAAGGCAUGAAGGUGUUGCAACAUCGUGCCAUGUUGUUUGAGCUGAUGUAUGCCUUAAACCUGAGCUAUCCUGAUCUCUGCUUUAUUUUUGAAGAAAUCCAAAAGAUUUUAAUGGAACUGCAUUGAGCGUAACUUUAACGAACCGUUUCUUUCAGUGAAAGGAUCAGAAAGACUGUGCUGCUCAUUUAUGUUCUUUUUAUUUAUCAGUUUUAAGUGUUUUUUCUUAUUAAAACAUUAACCGUUUGCUGCUCAGAGUUGAUUUUGGAAAUGGUUGUUGUAUUUUGUUUUUGUUGAAUCUUUGAUUAUCAGUUUAUACAAAUGCUUUAGCUCUGACUUUCUGAAGGAUUGAUAUUUUCCAGUUUGUAAAUCCAUUUAAAAAAUAAUAGUACUUACUGUUUUGCAUGUCUCUUUGGAAUGCAGUGUUUGUGCUUUAGCACUUCUAAAUCUACUGUGAUAGUAACUAUUUUAAACAUUUGGGUCAGUUUUACAGAUUGGGCUUUUUCUAGUCCCAGACUUUUGCAAUGCCUUAAUUUGAAAACAUAUUGCACUGACAUAUCUUGACAUAUAUCAGUGCCAUUGUUUUGUCUCAAGAUGUACUCCAGUGUUGUUUUUGUAAGGUAGGUUUGUUUGUAAACUUUUUUUGUAAGAAAUAUCCUAAUAUAACUAGGGCCUAGUCAUGGCUUAAUCCACAA